AGUAAAAGUCGUAACAAGGUUUCCGUAGGUGAACCUGCGGAAGGAUCAUUAAAGUAUCUUCGGGCGUCCGGUUCCGCGCCCCGCUCCGGUCGAAAGGCCGUGCAGCGGGCGCUCUCCGGCGCUCAACCUUCACAAACCCACCGUGCACCUUCACGACAGAGGGCGCUCGGACGAGAGUCUGGGCGACCGACGCCGUUUCACCAAACUCUUAAGUCUUAAAAGUAUGAACGCGACGCUCGUCGCCUAUGAAACGUAACAACUUUCAACAACGGAUCUCUUGGCUCUCGCAUCGAUGAAGAACGCAGCGAAAUGCGAUAAGUAAUGUGAAUUGCAGAAUUCAGUGAAUCAUCGAAUCUUUGAACGCACCUUGCGCUCCUUGGUAUUCCGAGGAGCAUGCCUGUUUGAGUGUCUUGAAGUCAUCAACCCCUCCGGUUUUUAACGACCGGGAGAAGGUUGGAUCUGGGGGCCUGCUGCCGUGUAGGCGGCUCCCCUCAAAUGCGUCGGUUGGGCCUGUGGGUCGAACUCGAUUGGGCGUUGUAUCAUCCUCGCUCUGACCGAGAUGUUCCCCUUUGGUGUCCUCCCUAGACUCGCCUCUGGAGUGGCGGUCAAACGACCUUUGAAAUCUGACCUCAAAUCAGGUAGGACUACCCGCUGAACUUAAGCAUAUCAAUAAGCGGAGGA
rnacentral:rRNA from 1 species